GUCUCAUUCGGAUUGUAGUCUGCAACUCGACUACAUGAAGCUGGAAUCGCUAGUAAUCGCGGAUCAGAAUGCCGCGGUGAAUACGUUCCCGGGUCUUGUACACACCGCCCGUCACACCAUGGGAGUCGGGAAUGCCCGAAGCCAGUGACCCAAGCGAGAGCAGGGAGCUGUCGAAGGCAGGCCGGAUAACUGGGGUGAAGUCGUAACAAGGUAAC
rnacentral:rRNA from 1 species